UGCUGAAAUGCGAAACAAAUUAUUUAAGUAUGGUCCAUUCAUUGCGCAUGCGACGGUGGUGGACAUCCCCUGAUUUUCCGCCAUCUUCCUCUUCGGUUGUUCAACCAUUGUUCAUAAAAGCUAAUUGUUGGUUUGUGGUCAGCGACUGGGUUGAUUUGUGCGCCUUUUUAUAACAACUUCUUUAAGUCUACAUGAGCAUUAUCCAAAAGGUCACAUAUUUAGAAAGUGUGUGUGCAUUACUCAAAAUACCAUAGCUACACGGAUUACUCACUCAGGGCACGACCUACAAAAACAUGAUGAUGAUGAUGGACGACGAACAGCCCAAAACCCUGUAUGUAGGGAACUUGUCCAGGGAUGUCACUGAGCCCCUCAUCCUACAGGUUUUCACACAGAUCGGCCCCUGCAAGAGCUGUAAAAUGAUUGUUGAUACUGCAGGCAAUGACCCAUACUGUUUUGUGGAGUUCUAUGAGCACAGGCAUGCUGCCGCAUCACUGGCUGCCAUGAAUGGACGUAAAAUUAUGGGUAAUGAAGGACCAUUUGAAGAGUAAUACAAGUUGAUAAUGUCACUGGUUUGUAAGUCCUUUGUUACUUGGACCUUUUAUUCCGUUGUUUAUGUUCCAGUUUGAGUGCUCAGGUGUUCUGUUCUCUGCUCAUCACUGCACUCAGAGAUUCACACUGUGUCAUGGCUGGCUCAUUUCUUUCACACACAAAGCACCACACUGAGGUAGUAAUACUGUAUCUAAAUGACAUAAAUGUACCCUACCUGGCUUGUUUUCUCUCUUCCCUUCUCUCUUUAGGAGGUUAAAGUCAACUGGGCCACAACACCAAGCAGUCAGAAAAAAGACACAAGCAAUCAUUUCCAUGUCUUUGUUGGAGACCUCAGCCCAGAAAUCACCACAGAUGAUGUAAAAGUGGCCUUUGGUCCAUUUGGGAGGAUAUCGGAUGCUCGUGUGGUCAAAGAUGUGGCAACGGGAAAGUCUAAAGGCUAUGGCUUUGUCUCUUUCUUCAACAAGUGGGAUGCAGAGAACGCCAUUCAGCAGAUGGGUGGUCAAUGGCUAGGCGGCAGACAGAUCAGGACCAACUGGGCCACUAGAAAGCCCCCAGCUCCUAAAACCACCUAUGAAACAAACACGAAGCACCUGUCCUUUGAUGAGGUUGUGAACCAGUCCAGCCCCAGUAACUGCACUGUGUACUGUGGAGGAGUCGGCACCGGUCUAACAGAACAAUUGAUGAGACAGACCUUCUCCCCCUUUGGACAAAUCAUGGAAAUCCGUGUGUUCCCAGACAAAGGAUACUCUUUUGUGCGGUUUACCUCUCAUGAGGGAGCAGCCCAUGCCAUUGUGUCUGUGAAUGGGACUUCGAUAGAGGGCCAUAUGGUGAAGUGUUAUUGGGGUAAAGAGACCACAGACAUGAUGAGUCCUAUGCAGCAGGUGCAACAAGUUCCCCAGAACAAAGUGGGCUUUGCGGCCCAGCCCUACGGCCAGUAUGCCCAGUGGUAUGGCAAUGCCCAGCAGAUUGGCCAGUACGUCCCCAACGGGUGGCAGGUACCCACCUAUGGGGUUUACGGCCAGGCCCAGGCCUGGAACCAGCAGGGUUUUAAGUAAGUACAUAAGGACAUCAGCAGGGCUCCCUUCUCUUCCAGCAACCAGGGCUGCAGCUGAGUGUUUUGAGUUUCCUUGGGCUUCCCAAGGGCAGCUAGGCUCUAGCUCAGUUGCCUGCAGCUUUGGCCAGGAGAAGGAGCCAUAAUGUCCUUCAACCUCCCCUCUCCACCGCAUCCAGCUUACAAGGACAAUGACAAAACACAUAAAAAAUAUAUAGAUAUCAUUUUCAUCCAUUUUUAAUAAUAAUUAUUUUUUAAAUAAAAUGAGCACUAAUGAAUGCCCUUUUUGGCCUUUCAAAUUGGCCCCAGUUCUGGGUCGAAUUGGACUAGUCCCUGAUAUGAGUGUCUACUCAAUGAACUAAAUAGUCCCAGACAGUGAGUAAAGUGGGAUUGUUGAAACACAAACGGGACCUCCUGCCCUCUGAAGCUUCUCUCAGUGCAGAGGGAUACAUCUUUUUAUUGUGCACGUGUUACAUCCACUUUAUUCAUUUUUUGUUGAUGUGCCAUGUCAUCUUUUGUUACUUCAUGCAUAUUUUUUGUUUUGUUGGUGUAUGAACUUUCAUUUGCCAUCCAAAUUUGAAUAUAAUUUUUUCUCCUGAAGAGUUUAAGUACAUUGCUACUUGAAAUAGGGUGUUGUAUGAAUUUGUUUAGAUUAUAGCUACAUUUGAAAUAUCACAAGUCAUUUUCUUGUCUCAAAUUGAUGAGGUUUGAGUGCUGCAUAAGACAAUAAAUCCUGUUUUAACUGCUUGUAUAGCAACAGAAACAGAGUAUAUCACAGCAGUUAUGUAAUAUGAUUGUUUUGUUCACAAAAUCUAAUCUAAUGAACCAAAGAAUGCAGUAACUUGGAAUCAUUUGUUGAAAGUUUUAGUUUUGGAAAUAGAUGUCCUUGUAUAGAAAUUGCAAUUAUAUAUUGCCUUCAUGAAGUAUUCAUAUCCCUUGACUUAUUCCACGUUGUGUUACAGCCUGAAUUCAAAAUGGAAUAUGCUUUUUCUCUCAACCAUCUACACACAAUACCCCAAUGUUUGUGCUCAUUUAAAAAAUAAAGCUAAUUCAUUGAAAUACAGAAAUCUAAUUUACCUAAGUGUUCACACCCCUGAGUCUAUACUUUGUAGAAACACCUUUGCCAUCAAUUACAGCUGAGUUGUCUUGUGCAAAGGUGAAAAACAUACCCAUCUGGAUUUGGGAUUUUUUUUCCCCCAUUCCUUGCAGAUUUUUCUCAAGCGCUUAAGUUAGAUGGGGAGCUUCGGUGAACAGCAAUCUUCAAGUCAUUCAACAGAUUUUCAAUGGGAUUCAAGUCUGAGCUUUUGCUGGGCAACUCAAUAACAUUCGUGUUCUGAAGCCAUUCCAGAGUUGCUUUGGCUAUAUGCUUAGGGUCAUUGUCCUGUUGGAACAUACAUUUUCACCACAGUUAAAAGUUGUUUGCACUCUGAAGCAGGUUCUCAUUGACGAUUUUUCUGUAUUUGGCUCCAUUAAUUGUUCCCUCUAUCCUUUCCAGUUGAUGUUCCCUCCACCAGGACUGAUGCACAGAAAAAACAUCUGCCUGCGCAAAAAAGCACUAGAUUAAACUUCACUCAACUUUAUGGGGUUUUCCCUGUUAACACUCAACAUUUCCCUUUACUGUGGGAAUUGUGAUCGAAUCAACGCUAUUAGCCACUUUCAAUGCAACAUCCUGAAACAAAACAAACUAUUCAAGCUAUUUUGUUGUUUGCCGAACGCAUUGGAGUAGGAUUCUAUUGCAUUGACAGGCACAACUCAGGCCUGUAAUCUACACAGACCGCUGCGCCAUAACCAAUCAGCUGCAGUAGGGCUAUAUGAAAAUAGAUCAUUGCCAUAUAUGGAUCUGUGCCUUUCUAUUGGAACUGGACUGUUAACAGAAUGAGCGGUCGUGAGUAAAUGCCCUUUUUUGAGAUCAAAGCGAGAGCUACAUGUAGCGACAUGCACAUUUGUUCAUAUCCUUUGCUAGUUAGUGAGUUCUAGAUAAUAUGUAGUUAGCAAUGGGAGAGUGAUUGCUUCCUACGAGAGCACACAACGUGUGUGUUUCUAGUCAUCUUUGAAAAAUGAGUCAGGUAAAGGGCUUUUCUUUUGUCUUAAAGGGGCAGUGUUGUAUUUUGAGACCGGCUUGAAUAAGCUAAGUUGCCAAUAGGCAGAGGAUGUUAUAAUUUGUCUGAUUCUCUGUAAUAAUGGUAUGGAAAUAAUGAUGUGUUUUAUUUUGUAAAGAGGUUUCUUGCAUCAAACAUAUUUUCAGUCACCUUGUCUGAAGGAAUAGUGGAUGAACAGGUUUAAUGUCUAGCCGUGCAUGUUUUUUCCCCCAAAGUUAUGGUAUGUAGGUCUACAUUGGCUGCUACUUUAGGCUGAACAAUAGAACAGCUAUUUCCAUGUUAAAAUGUUAUGGAAUGCAUUUUCCAUUGUUUAUGGUAGGCUUACAUUAUAAUCAAAUGGCCACGGAAGCCUACUUGACCACUUAGUUUUAAAUUAAAGAGGCUAUAUACAGCCUGUUCACAUUAAACGUGCGCCAGAAUUUUCACAACAGACCUGAAAUUUGCUCAGUGCUGAAAUCUUUGAGGGAACAUUGCUCCCAGGCCCUGCUGCUGAAAAGUGUCCCCCGUUGCAUGAUGCUGCCACCACCAUCCUUCACGGUAUUGAUGGUGCGAGACGGGUAAUGAGCUCUGCCUGGUUUUCUCCAGACAUGGCGCUUUGCAUUCAGGCUAAUUCUUGUCUCUUCAGACCACAGUCUUUUAUGAUCUCUCUUCACAUGCCUUUUUGCGAACUUCAGUCGUGCCUUUUUCUCAGGACUGGCUUCUGUCUGGUUACUCCCAUAAAGCCCAGAUUGGGGAAGUGCUGUAGAGACCAUUGUCGUGGCAGGUUCUUCCAUCUCAGCCAAGGAGUUCUGUCAGUCGUCAUUGUGUUCUUGGUUACCCCCCCCGGACUAAGGUCCUUCUUGAUCGUUUGGUCGGACGGCCAACUCUAGCCAGAGUCUGUUUUUUUCAAUUUCCCAAUAAUGGAGACCACUGUGCUCUUGGAAACUUUCAACACUGUAGAAAUUGCUUUAUACCCUUCCCCAGAUAUAUGCCUCAUCACAAUUCUAUCUAUUUGGCGUGCCAUAGCAAAGGGGUGUGAAUACUUAUGUAAAUGCAAUAUUUUCUAUACAUUUGCAAAAAAUUCUAAAAACAUGUUUUCAACUUGUCAUUAUUGUGUGUAGAUGGGUAAAAAAGUAAUCAAUUUCAUCCAUUUUUAAUUCGGGUUGUAACAAUGAAAUAAAUCAAGGGAUGUGAAUAUUUUACAAAGGCACUGUACUUACAUUUUAUUUGUAUGUAAAUGUCUGAUUUGUUUGAGAGCCCAUGAAAAUAUUGAUGAUAUAGUAGACUACCUAGAACAAUAGUUGAAGUUUAAUCCUAAAAUAAAUCUCAGCCUGAGCUACAUGUUCUCUUACUUGUUACUAUAUUGAGCUUAUCUGUGACUGUUUUCAAUACACAAUGUGCUGACUGACCAAAUGUUAACUUUUCCAUUCAGGUAUUUGUUGCAUAAUGGAUGUUGCUAAAGAUUUGACUAGGAAUAACAAAAGUCAUGAAUGGGGUUUAGGCAUGAAAUUAUAAACAUGUUUCCCUUUGUAGUGGUACAAGAUUCAGGGAAAAAGUGUGAAAUUCAACUCCACGGCCAAAUUUAAAUGUAGCUGGUCCUGCUUCAGCCGCACUCUGCAACAUUGACCAGCAGCUUUGUUUGAUGCGAGGAGUCAAAAGAUGUAUUUAUUUUAAGUAAAUCUCCACCGCAGUGGAUUGUGACUAAUUUUAUACACGGAGCCUGUGCUCUGUCCGCAUACCCACUCCCACAAGUACCAUAUCUUUGCCCUGUUACCAUUUUCAAUUCCUACCAUAUUCUCUGCUGUCUUAGAUUCUGGUUUAUCCUCCGACACACCCUGACCUUUGUUCUCUCAUCCUCUCCUCAGCUGGCUCUUGCUCUGUUUGGUGUGUUCUCUGGUUGUGUCCCAAAUGGCACCAUAUCCCCUAUAUAAGUCCACUACAUUUUACCUGGUCCCUGGACAAAAGUUAUGCACUAUAAAGGGAAUAGGGUACCAUUUGAGACGAAGCCUCUGUCUUGCCCCUGUCGCCGCCUCUUUUCUAACCUGCUGGCAUUUUCUCUCUUUCCCGUUUUGCAGUCACUUACCGGCCAGUGCUGGGUGGACAGGUGUGAGUGCCCUCAGUAACGGUGGGGUUAUGGAAGCUACACAGGGAUUGAAUGGGAGUAUGUUAGCAAACCAGGCCGGUAUGGGAGCCACUGGAUACCCCACACACUGAUAGGGGGAUAGUCAACUCUUUACUGGCUACUGGAGCAUCACCGGGAUCUGUGUUAAAUCCCAUCCACUUGAGGCAGACUAAGACUUGUUGGUACAUGGAAUUUGAAGUGGAAGUUGACCUCUACUAAAGCCAAUGAAACUGAUUUCAUGGGAGGUUAAGGGGAGCCAUGGAGAACUGGAAUAAACUACACAGGUAUUAUGCUACCCUUGUUAGACUACAUGGGCAUGAUGGUACCAUUUUAAGUGAACUGUAAAUGUAAUAUAAUUGUUAAGGAGACACUUGGAUUUGUUGAUUUGUUUAGUGUCUCGAACUGCUACCAUUUUCACAAGGACUCUUGAACAGUCAACAUAAUGUGGUUGUGAUUUAUUUUUAUUUUUUAAGAUGAAUAAUCCAUUUUGAGUUUGAUGCAAUGAAUCAUGUAAAAAGUAAUGGAAGUAAUCAAAAUUGAUUUUUUUUCUUCAAUUAAACCAAUUGCAGGGAUAGAUGCCACUGCUUUUAGGCAGACAUUUCUGUAAGGGCAGACACAUUGCACAGUAUUCUAUUUUUUAUUAUUCCAAGAGGAUUUCUUUUUGCAUUACACUUUUCCCCUGUAUUUCGUUUGGGAGGCCUCAACUUGCUUCAUGUGUAAAUAACCAUACAUAUAUUUCAAACUGUAUAAAGGAAAAUGCAAAUGUUCACAAUGGGAGUUUGGUGCUUUUUGUUUUGAAAAGAAAUUCAACAUUGUUAGUCGCAACACUAUCAAGUGCAUACCCAUGGUAACUGGCACAGUGAUGCAUGGACUUCUGGGAAGGGAAAAGGGCAUUGCUAUGCAGUGCAUAAAUUCACUCAAUUUUGACUUUGAAUACUAAUUCUGUACAUAAAUGGAGUUUUCUGCCAUUUUCUAUGAAGUAAGAUCAGUAUUUUGUAUGGAAAAACCUGAACCAGAAAUGCUAAUCAGAAAUGUGAAUUUAGACAUGUUUUAAUACCAGACCCAUUGUGUUGCCUUAGAAUUGAAUGGACACAAUAUCAUUCAGAUUAGGCAGUGUCUACAGACAAUUUCUGACCUUUUUAGUUUUGAAAAGUGUUCUCCUCUGGGGGUUUGGUAAUGUUUCUGCUACUAUAUUUGUUCUUGCUUUGUCCAAUUAAAAUGCUGAUGUGCAUAAUAAACCAUUUUCUGUGUA